CUGGCUCAGAACGAACGCUGGCGGCAGGCUAACACAUGCAAGUCGAACGCACCGCAAGGUGAGUGGCAGACGGGUGAGUAACGCGUGGGAACCUUCCCUUUGGUACGGAAUAACUUCGGGAAACCGAAGCUAAUACCGUAUAAGUCCUCCGGGAGAAAGAUUUAUCGCCAAAGGAUGGGCCCGCGUUGGAUUAGCUAGUUGGUAGGGUAAAAGCCUACCAAGGCAACGAUCCAUAGCUGGUCUGAGAGGAUGAUCAGCCACACUGGGACUGAGACACGGCCCAGACUCCUACGGGAGGCAGCAGUGGGGAAUAUUGGACAAUGGGCGCAAGCCUGAAUCCAGCCAUGCCGCGUGAGUGAAGAAGGCCUUAGGGUUGUAAAGCUCUUUUGGCGGGGACGAUAAUGACGGUACCCGCAGAAUAAGCCCCGGCUAACUUCGUGCCAGCAGCUGC
rnacentral:rRNA from 1 species